GACGAACGCUGGCGGCGUGCUUAACACAUGCAAGUCGAACGGUAAGGCCCUUCGGGGUACACGAGUGGCGAACGGGUGAGUAACACGUGGGUGAUCUGCCCUGCACUUUGGGAUAAGCCUGGGAAACUGGGUCUAAUACCGAAUACACCCUGCUGGUCGCAUGGCCUGGUGGGGGAAAGCUUUUGCGGUGUGGGAUGGGCCCGCGGCCUAUCAGCUUGUUGGUGGGGUGAUGGCCUACCAAGGCGACGACGGGUAGCCGGCCUGAGAGGGUGUCCGGCCACACUGGGACUGAGAUACGGCCCAGACUCCUACGGGAGGCAGCAGUGGGGAAUAUUGCACAAUGGGCGCAAGCCUGAUGCAGCGACGCCGCGUGAGGGAUGACGGCCUUCGGGUUGUAAACCUCUUUCAAUAGGGACGAAGCGCAAGUGACGGUACCUAUAGAAGAAGCACCGGCCAACUACGUGCCAGCAGCCGCGGUAAUACGUAGGGUGCGAGCGUUGUCCGGAAUUACUGGGCGUAAAGAGCUCGUANGUGGUUUGUCGCGUUGUUCGUGAAAACUCACAGCUUAACUGUGGGCGUGCGGGCGAUACGGGCAGACUGGAGUACUGCAGGGGAGACUGGAAUUCCUGGUGUAGCGGUGGAAUGCGCAGAUAUCAGGAGGAACACCGGUGGCGAAGGCGGGUCUCUGGGCAGUAACUGACGCUGAGGAGCGAAAGCGUGGGGAGCGAACAGGAUUAGAUACCCUGGUAGUCCACGCCGUAAACGGUGGGUACUAGGUGUGGGUUUCCUUCCUUGGGAUCCGUGCCGUAGCUAACGCAUUAAGUACCCCGCCUGGGGAGUACGGCCGCAAGGCUAAAACUCAAAGAAAUUGACGGGGGCCCGCACAAGCGGCGGAGCAUGUGGAUUAAUUCGAUGCAACGCGAAGAACCUUACCUGGGUUUGACAUGCACAGGACGCCGGCAGAGAUGUCGGUUCCCUUGUGGCCUGUGUGCAGGUGGUGCAUGGCUGUCGUCAGCUCGUGUCGUGAGAUGUUGGGUUAAGUCCCGCAACGAGCGCAACCCUUGUCUCAUGUUGCCAGCACGUUAUGGUGGGGACUCGUGAGAGACUGCCGGGGUCAACUCGGAGGAAGGUGGGGAUGACGUCAAGUCAUCAUGCCCCUUAUGUCCAGGGCUUCACACAUGCUACAAUGGCCGGUACAAAGGGCUGCGAUGCCGUGAGGUGGAGCGAAUCCUUUCAAAGCCGGUCUCAGUUCGGAUCGGGGUCUGCAACUCGACCCCGUGAAGUCGGAGUCGCUAGUAAUCGCAGAUCAGCAACGCUGCGGUGAAUACGUUCCCGGGCCU
rnacentral:rRNA from 1 species